rnacentral:rRNA from 1 species
AACGAACGCUGGCGGCAUGCCUAACACAUGCAAGUCGAACGAGACCUUCGGGUCUAGUGGCGCACGGGUGCGUAACGCGUGGGAAUCUGCCCUUGGGUUCGGAAUAACAGUUGGAAACGACUGCUAAUACCGGAUGAUGACGUAAGUCCAAAGAUUUAUCGCCCAAGGAUGAGCCCGCGUAGGAUUAGCUAGUUGGUGAGGUAAAGGCUCACCAAGGCGACGAUCCUUAGCUGGUCUGAGAGGAUGAUCAGCCACACUGGGACUGAGACACGGCCCAGACUCCUACGGGAGGCAGCAGUGGGGAAUAUUGGACAAGGGGCGAAAGCCUGAUCCAGCAAUGCCGCGUGAGUGAUGAAGGCCUUAGGGUUGUAAAGCUCUUUUACCCGGGAUGAUAAUGACAGUACCGGGAGAAUAAGCUCCGGCUAACUCCGUG